rnacentral:lncRNA from 1 species
GGGGGACUAACCCAAAAUAUUUGUUGUUAUUACACCAACCAUACGUUAUAUGUAUUGGAACAAUAUUAUUUAGGUGUAUAUUAUGCAUACAGAAUAAAAGAAAGAAAGUGAAAGUAACAAAAGUAGAAAAGGGAGGAAAGGUGACAGAAAAAGUCGUCAUUGAAAAAAAAAAUAAAAGGAAAUAAAAGAGAAUAUAAAACUUUUUGUUUAUAACAUUUUAUAACUAUCUUAAAGCAAAAGAGUGAUGCGUAGUUAAUAUAUGUCGGUAACAUUUUCCACUCUAUAAAUAUAUUACCGUAUAUCUAUCAUCGUAUAUAUAUGACAAUUUACAUAUUUUUAUAUAAAU